rnacentral:rRNA from 1 species
AGCACUUCGGUGGCUGACGAGUGGCGCACGGGUGCGUAACGCGUAUGCAAUCUACCUUUUACAGUGGGAUAGCCCAGAGAAAUUUGGAUUAAUACCGCAUAGUAUAUAGAAUUGGCAUCGAUUUUAUAUUAAACAUUUAUGGGUAAAAGAUGAGCAUGCGUUCUAUUAGCUAGAUGGAGUGGUAACGGCACCCCAUGGCGACGAUAGAUAGGGGCCCUGAGAGGGGGAUCCCCCACACUGGUACUGAGACACGGACCAGACUCCUACGGGAGGCAGCAGUGAGGAAUAUUGGACAAUGGGCGCAAGCCUGAUCCAGCCAUGCCGCGUGCAGGAAGACUGCCCUAUGGGUUGUAAACUGCUUUUAUACGGGAAGAAACACCCCCUCGUGAGGGGGCUUGACGGUACCGUAAGAAUAAGGAUCGGCUAACUCCGUGCCAGCAGCCGCGGUAAUACGGAGGAUCCAAGCGUUAUCCGGAAUCAUUGGGUUUAAAGGGUCCGUA